GGGGAGCGCCGAGGGGGGGGGGGGGGGGGGGGGGGGGGGGUGGUGGUGUGGAGACCAAACAAAAAAAGAAGAAAUAACCCAAGCCCCCCAUUGCUCGAUCGGCAGCCGCCCAUCUCUCUCUCUCUCUCUCUCAACUCCCUUACCUCCCCGAGCUCUCUCCCAUCUCUCAGUUCCCUCCGGCAACAUCUCCUUGCUUUCAUUCUCUCCCUUUUCUCUCCUCCUUCUCUAAACUCCCCUAACUCUCGACUUUCAGUUUCUCUGUUCUUAGUCCCUCUUUCUCUCCCUUAUCCCUAGAUUUCCCUCUUUUCUUCUCCUUCACUGCUGCACAGCCCCGCCACCAGGUUCCCUCCAGUCCGUGCACCAGCAGCCCCAUCUCCCUCUGGAACUCUCGGCCACCUUCAGGCCCUCCGUAGCUGCAAUCAAGGCACUAGAAGACACCAGCAGCCACUAGGCCAGACUACCCUCCACAGCCAUCAACCUCCAGCUCCGCCGAAUACGCCAUCUGAUUCAUCUGCUCCGGCCAUGCAUCAACCAAUCUAGAAGACAGCUGCAGCCGGCAGCACCUGAAGCUAGAAGCCCCGACCUCACAACAACAGGCCAACCACCACCACCAACCCGAGCCACUCCACCACCCAAGACCAGGACUCCUCCAUCGGUCGGCAAAACACAAAGCAGCUAAAGAAGGAGCUAGCCACCUGAGUGCCACUUACACCAACCACCGUCGCCCUCUGCCAGUCGAACCCAGCGAACCCCUGACAGCUUCAAUCUUCAUCACAGAUCUCUCCUUGCAACCGCCUCGCCUCCAAGCCUCUCCUCGUCUGAACUCUCCUACAAGUCCAACGAAAGUAGCAUUGCCGCAGCACCGUUGCCGAACACUCACUUCUGCUCAGGCAACCCAAGGAAUCUGAAAAAGCCAAACUCAACAAAGUUUCGAAAGAUCACCAACAAGCUUAAAGGUGUAUGUUGUGUCAUGAAGUGAUCAAAUCGGGAAGCACAAAGACAUCUGAAGAAGAAAUGAACCUAAAGCUUCAAGAGGAUCAUGAAGUUUCAAAGAACAAGAAAUGUUCAUAUUGUUAGGAAAUCUUCAUAUAAGUACUUCAAAGUUAAAAAUGUAACUGUGAAUGAAAUGAAGCUCAUUAGGGGAUAAA